UUCCCAAUUCCCAUUAUCCAUCAACCGAGUUCCCCCACUAUCUCCACUAUCUCCUCUCGCCAAACGAGAACUGCAAAAUAUUCCCUUUUCAUGGCUCGUUCCCUUUCCCAAACCGUAAUCAAGCUCAGCCUCGUCUCCAAACCGCGUCCUUCUUCUCGUCUCCUUCCCCUCCGAAGCCUCUCCAACCAACCCAACCACUCCGACCUCUCCGAUCCUUCCUCCGACACUUCCUCCUCCGAUCCGCUUCUGCAGAAACUCGAAGACGCCAUCCACCGGAUCAUCGUACGCCGUUCAGCGCCCGAUUGGCUUCCUUUCAUCCCCGGGUCCUCUUACUGGGUCCCGCCAUCCUCGGCCCAAUCCUACGGCCUGGCCCAGCUCGUUGAGAAAUUGGCUAAUCCAUUGACCCCGGAGGAGUCCAUGUCAACCACCACUGCCCGAGGUUGGCCGUCUUCCGAAUAUUUCAUCAAAGAAUAUAAUGUUCUCUACGACAUUUCAGGUGGAACCCCACAUUCAGUGGAGCUAAACACAUCUUCAAAUACUGCAUCUAAAUCUGAGGAUGAGGAAGGAUGAUACCUUGCCUAUUGCAUGUAAUAGCAUCUGGGGCUCAUCUAGAAUUGUGAAGUUAUGGAGGGGAGGAGUGAGAAGCAGUUUCGUUGACAAGGAGGAGUUUCAGUUAGAUUGGAGGAGCUGUAUAGAUGCAACAUGGCCAGUGGAGAAGCAAUAAAUUCUUUUUCAACUUUCACAGCUGAAAACGAUUCUGUAUUUUAUGUACUUUAAAGAGCUUGCCUUGACUCAAAGUGGAUAGGGUAUUCAACCCCCUAUCUUGGAUUCCUUGAGAGUGACAGUUCGCUUUGACUUUUAGCAAAUAAUGGUCAAAAUCCCCAUUAUCUUGGAUUCUUGAGCUUUUGUGAGUGGCAUUUAGCCUCAUCCACACUUGAUUGGUAGCCUGUCUCGACUUAAAGCAAACAAGGUAAAUAAGCCACAGUGUUGUGUGGUAAAGGUCAUCCCACGACAGACCGAUUAUGACAUCCGGUAGGUUUCAAUUUUGAUGUUCUCACUCCGUUGAGUCCGUCACAAGCUUCCGCAUAGGGUUGCUUAUGGUUAUGUAUGUAGGCACAUUGUGCCAUAUGAACUUAUGUAAGGUUUGUUAAGAGCGAACCCGUCUUGAAUGACCAACGUACGGCCCUAUAAAUAUUUGUAAGAAUUUUAUGUCAGGGAUAAUGUAAUAUAUUUGAUUUUAUUGUGAA